AUUGAACGCUGGCGGCAUGCCUUACACAUGCAAGUCGAACGGUAACAGGUUAAGCUGACGAGUGGCGAACGGGUGAGUAAUGUAUCGGAACGUGCCCAGUCGUGGGGGAUAACUGCUCGAAAGAGCAGCUAAUACCGCAUACGACCUGAGGGUGAAAGCGGGGGAUCGCAAGACCUCGCGCGAUUGGAGCGGCCGAUAUCAGAUUAGGUAGUUGGUGAGGUAAAGGCUCACCAAGCCGACGAUCUGUAGCUGGUCUGAGAGGACGACCAGCCACACUGGGACUGAGACACGGCCCAGACUCCUACGGGAGGCAGCAGUGGGGAAUUGUGGACAAUGGGCGCAAGCCUGAGCCAGCCAUGCCGCGUGCGGGAAGAAGGCCUUCGGGUUGUAAACCGCUUUUGUCAGGGAAGAAAAGGUUCUGGCUAAUACCUGGGACUCAUGACGGUACCUGAAGAAUAAGCACCGGCUAACUACGUGCCAGCCGCCGCCGUAAUAC
rnacentral:rRNA from 1 species